CUAUUUAAUCCCUCAACCAUCUAUUACUGCCGGGUUUUGUUCAGUCUGGGUGUGGCGACGAGUAGCGAUUGGAAUUGGAUCCAUCCAGGUUUAUAUUUCAUUAUUUCUUGCUUCAAUUGGCGAUCGGAAUUGGAAUCGAAUCCAUCUUGUAGUCUAGAGGUUUGGGAAUAUCCGGGUGCAUACAAGAUAACCAAGGGUCUGUUGGAGAAGUAUGUCCCUGAGAGGGUUCUUGAUACUCCAAUCACUGAGAUAUGCUGAACCAUUCAUUUGAGCCAAAUCGUUUUUUUCAUUGGCGUUUUAAGGACUGGAUGCUUGAAGUUCUUAUAAAUGCUGGAAGGCGGAUUAAAAAGGGAGAUGAGAUUACUUUGUAGGCUUAAUAAGACCUGAUGCGAAAAUGACAGUUGGUAGCGACAUGUUUUUGGUAUCAGUUUCAUUGGCUUUGCUAGCUUGAUUCAUGCUUUCAUAACUUCUUUUUUAUAGAUUUGUAUUAUCCACUUUAAAUGUGAAGGCUGUGUGCAGAAAGUAAAGAAACUGCUGCAGAAAAUUGAUGGGACAUACAUUGAUCAUGUCAUUUCUUUUGCAAUUUGAAGUUACAAAUGGAUCUCUUCUGAAUUUUCUUUAGACAGUUAUUACAGUAUCGGCUUACCUAGCCACUGGCCACUACUCUCAACUUAUCAGUAUUGAUCUUCUGGUUCCAAUUCCUAAACACUUGAGAACUGAUAUGUGUCUGGGGUCUGUUGUUGGUUGUCCUCAUACGAAAAAUAUAUGCUUUUUUCAUGGAACGGGAUUUGAGUGCAGAAGAAGUUUUGGGUGUUCAAUGAAUCGAACCUACAGUGGAAGUUUCUGCUGCUACCCCAAAUGCAAGGUCAGAGCAUUAUGCUACUAAUAAUUUUAGCUGCUCUAAGAACAAAUUUGACUCUAAGGUUUGUUAUAGCUAAUGUGUAAUAGUUUGUAAUUAUUAUAAACUUAGAGUAGAUAAUUCAUCUUUGAGAAGCUUGCUGGCAAAUGGCUAUAACCAAAAGGUAAUGUCAAUUGUGAUAGUUGUUUGAUAUAACCAAUGUGUAAUAGUUUGUAAUUGUUUGUCCUAUAUAGCAUAAAAUUAUUGGAUGUUAGUGUAAAACUCAUUUACAUUAAUAGUGCAUAUUCAUUAAACUUAUUUUA